GAUGAACGCUGGCUGCGUGCCUAAUACAUUCAAGUCGAGCGAACGUACGAGAAGCUUGCUUCUCUGAUGUUAGCUGCGGACGGGUGAGUAACACGUGGCUCACCUACCUAUACGACUGGGAUAACUUCGGGAAACCGGAGCUAAUACCGGAUACUAUUUUGAACCGCAUGGUUCAAAAGUGAAAGACGGUCUUGCUGUCACUUAUAGAUUGAUCCGCGCUGCAUUAGCUAGUUGGUAAGGUAACGGCUUACCAAGGCAACGAUGCAUAGCCGACCUGAGAGGGUGAUCGGCCACACUGGAAGUGAGACACGGUCCAGAGUCCUACGGGAGGCAGCAGUAGGGAAUCUUGCGCAAUGGGCGAAAGCCUGACGGAGAAACGGCGCGUGAGUGAGGAAGGUCCUCGGAUCGUAAAACGCUGGUAGUGGGGAAGAACAGAUGUGUAAGUAACUGUGCACAGCUUGACGGAACCUAAUCAGAAAGCCACGGCUAAUAACGUG
rnacentral:rRNA from 1 species